rnacentral:rRNA from 1 species
GUGUCAGCAGCCGCGGUAAUACAGAGGUCCCAAGCGUUGUUCGGAUUCACUGGGCGUAAAGGGUGCGUAGGUGGCCAGGUAAGUUUGGUGUGAAAGCUCGGAGCUUAACUUCGAAAAGGCAUUGAAUACUAUCUGGCUGGAGGGUCGGAGGGGAGACUGGAAUUCUCGGUGUAGCAGUGAAAUGCGUAGAUAUCGAGAGGAACACCGGUGGCGAAGGCGAGUCUCUGGACGACACCUGACACUGAGGCACGAAAGCUAGGGGAGCAAACAGGAUUAGAUACCCUCGUAGUCC